GGAAGUGGUGUCAAAGGUUGACAGACGGUUUAGAAAACCGUUGCUCUUAAAGGAGCCGAGAGUUCGAGUCUCUCCAUUUCCU
rnacentral:tRNA from 1 species